CAGGGGAUAACAUUUGGAAACAAGUGCUAAUACCGUAUAAUACCAACAACCGCAUGGUUGUUGAUUGAAAGAUGGUUCUGCUAUCACUAAGAGAUGGACCCGCGGUGCAUUAGCUAGUUGGUAAGGUAACGGCUUACCAAGGCGAUGAUGCAUAGCCGAGUUGAGAGACUGAUCGGCCACAAUGGGACUGAGACACGGCCCAUACUCCUACGGGAGGCAGCAGUAGGGAAUCUUCCACAAUGGGCGCAAGCCUGAUGGAGCAACGCCGCGUGUGUGAUGAAGGGUUUCGGCUCGUAAAACACUGUUAUAAGAGAAGAACGGCACUGAGAGUAACUGUUCAGUGUGUGACGGUAUCUUACCAGAAAGGAACGGCUAAAUACGUGCCAGCAGCCGCGGUAAUACGUAUGUUCCAAGCGUUAUCCGGAUUUAUUGGGCGUAAAGCGAGCGCAGACGGUUAUUUAAGUCUGAAGUGAAAGCCCUCAGCUCAACUGAGGAAUGGCUUUGGAAACUGGAUGACUUGAGUGCAGUAGAGGAAAGUGGAACUCCAUGUGUAGCGGUGAAAUGCGUAGAUAUAUGGAAGAACACCAGUGGCGAAGGCGGCUUUCUGGACUGUAAC
rnacentral:rRNA from 1 species